UAUACAGAUUACAGACUACACAAUUUCGCGGCAAUCUGUUGGUGCGUCUCCUUUCCUUUCACGCCAAACCUUGUCGAUUUCAUUUGCAGUUCGUCAUCUCCGAUCUGUUACACAGCCAUUAGGGUUUCAGUCGCAACCGAUCUUCGUUUCCAUCUCCAGUCUUAGCUAUUCCGUAUUAAUGGAGGCCUUCGGCCGUUACUUCCUGGACGAGAAAGCAGUUCGCGUCGAGAACAUCUUUCUCGACUUCCUCAAGAGUUUUCGUACGGAGGGGAGUGGGGAAUUGUACCACGAAGCCGAAAUUGAGACGAGGAGAGCGAACGAAUCGAGCACCAUAUUCCUUGAUUCCACUCAUGUCAUGCGAUACAGCGACCUUCUCCAGAAGGCCAUUGCCGAAGAGGACUUAAGGUUUGAGCCUUACUUGAAGAAUGCGUGUAAGAGGUUCGUGAUGGAGCUUCAUCUCUGAUGAUAACACUAACAAGGACAUCAAUUUUGCCUUUUUCAACAUCCCUUUCUCUAAGCGGUUGAGAGCGUUAACUACACCUGAAAUUGGGAAACUAGUAUCAAUUACCGGAGUGGUCACUCGCACAAGUGAGGUUAGACCUGAGCUUCUUCAAGGAACUUUCAACCGCUUGGAGUUCAAGUACACAGAAGUCGGAUUUUAUAUGCCUAUUCUGUUUUGCUCCUCAUUAUUCCUUUGGGGAAUGUUUUAACUUGCUGUCAAGUGUCAACUACUUAAAUUGUGUACUUGCAGCCGAUAAUCUGUCCGACAUGCUCGAAUAGAACAAGAUGGGCAUUGCUCUGACAGGAGAGCAAUUUUACAGAUUGGCAAAGAGUCAGAGUACAAGAAACAUCUGCUGAGAUUUCCGCAGGUUCCUUUCCCAGAUCCCUUGAUGUUAUUCUCCGCCAUGAUAUUGUUGAACAUGCCAGGGCUGGUGAUACGUAAGAUGAUUACUUUAAAGAUAGCUAGUUUUUUUCGUGCUCUUUUAUGCAAUCGUUGAAGAUGACUUGAUUGACUUCUAAUGAAUCUUCAAUUUGCAUAUGCUUCCAGGGUGGUUUUUACAGGUACCGUGGUUGUAAUGCCAGAUAUAUUGGCCUUGGCGUCACCAGAUGGGCAUUCUUUCUCUCUCUAUAGUUUAUUUGUUUAAAAAUUACCAUUUCCAGGGUCUGGACUACCGGGAUGGAAGCAGAGGGAGUUGAUCGCAUGGUAUGUGGCCCAGCAAAAUGAGAAAAAUGCCUACAGUUCUCAGGAGGAAGCAGCAACUGAAAUUUCCAAAAUCAAAGCUAUUAUAGAGAGCUGGAUACUAAGGGAGGGUUUCUUAAUUGUGCUCGACGAGGGCAGGCAAGAAGCCGGUGAAGCUGCAGUACAACCACCAUCUAGAAAUGACAGAAUAUUAGCUGUGGCUCCAAAUCAUGUCAUAGAUUGAUCCGGAAACUAACGACGUCUUUACCAUAUCCAUAUGGCACUGGAUCUUGUUGUGAAUCAGACUGACCUGUACAACAAUGUGACAGAUUGUUGCAGACUUGUGGUUGGAAGAGAUGUUAGCUCGUGGCAUAACGAGAUCCUACUGUCUCUCUUUGCUACUACAACAAAUUGAAAGAUAGAAAUGUAGCAAGUUCUGAGAAGACUGCCAUUUGAGUUCAAAUGUUGUAAAUUAGAAUUAACUUGCAUGUUUUUUUUUGUGAUAGGCAGAAUUAGCUUAGAUUGGCGACUGAAGGGAGAGAUUAAUUUUGAUGA